AAUUGAAGAGUUUGAUCAUGGCUCAGAUUGAACGCUGGCGGCAGGCCUAACACAUGCAAGUCGGGCGGUAACAGGAAAGCGCUUGCGCUUUUGCUGACGAGCGGCGGACGGGUGAGUAAUGUCUGGGGAUCUGCCCGAGGGCGGGGGAUAACCACUGGAAACGGUGGCUAAUACCGCAUAAUGUCGCAAGACCAAAGUGGGGGACCUGAAAGGGCCUCACGCCGUCGGAUGAACCCAGAUGGGAUUAGCUGGUAGGUAGGGUAAUGGCCUAC
rnacentral:rRNA from 1 species